rnacentral:rRNA from 1 species
AGGGUUCCAGGGUCAAGCUAAUCUGCCCUGGGUAAGUCGGGACCUAAGGCGAGGCCGACAGGCGUAGUCGAUGGACAUCCGGUUGAUAUUCCGGAACCGGCGAAGGACCGCCCCUGGCGAACCUUGUGAUGCUAAGCGCCUGCUGUAUCCCGCUGGGCCCUUCGGGGCCUUGGGGUAUGGCGCGCGUGACCCGAGCGGGUAGUAGUCAAGCGAUGGAGUGACGCAGGAAGGUAGCCUCCGCGUGGCGAUGGUUGUCCACGUCCAAGGGUGUAGGGCGGGGCCCAGGUAAAUCCGGGUCCCAUGCAGCCUGAGACCUGAUAGUGACCGCGUAUGCGGGAAGCGGGUGAUCCUAUGCUGCCGAGAAAAACUUCUAGCGAGGUUCGAGCCGCCCGUACCCUAAACCGACUCAGGUGGUUAGGUAGAGAAUACCAAGGCGAUCGAGUGAAUCGUGGUUAAGGAAUUCGGCAAAAUACCCCCGUAACUUCGGGAGAAGGGGGGCCUGACCCGUGAACCCACGAGCUGGGGGCAGCGGUGAUGGUCGCAGAGACCAGGGAGAAGCGACUGUUUACUAAAAACACAGGUCCGUGCGAAGAAGCAAUUCGAGGUAUACGGACUGACGCCUGCCCGGUGCUGGAACGUUAAGGGGACCGGUUAGCACGUGAGUGCGACGCUGAGAACUUAAGCGCCAGUAAACGGCGGUGGUAACUAUAACCAUCCUAAGGUAGCGAAAUUCCUUGUCGGGUAAGUUCCGACCUGCACGAAUGGCGUAACGACUUCUCCACUGUCUCAACCACGAACUCGGCGAAAUUGCACUACGAGUAAAGAUGCUCGUUACGCGCAGCAGGACGGAAAGACCCCGGGACCUUUACUACAGCUUGGUAUUGGUGUUCGGUACGGCUUGUGUAGGAUAGGUGGGAGACUGUGAAGCGUCCACGUCAGUGGGUGUGGAGUCAUCGUUGAAAUACCACUCUGGUCGUUCUGGAUGUCUAACCUCGGUCCGUGAUCCGGAUCAGGGACAGUGCCUGGUGGGUAGUUUAACUGGGGCGGUUGCCUCCUAAAAGGUAACGGAGGCGCCCAAAGGUUCCCUCAGCCUGGUUGGUAAUCAGGUGUCGAGUGUAAGUGCACAAGGGAGCUUGACUGUGAGAGAGGCAUCUCGAGCAGGGACGAAAGUCGGGACUAGUGAUCCGGCGGUGGCUUGUGGAAGCGCCGUCGCUCAACGGAUAAAAGGUACCCCGGGGAUAACAGGCUGAUCUUGCCCAAGAGUCCAUAUCGACGGCAUGGUUUGGCACCUCGAUGUCGGCUCGUCGCAUCCUGGGGCUGGAGUAGGUCCCAAGGGUUGGGCUGUUCGCCCAUUAAAGCGGUACGCGAGCUGGGUUUAGAACGUCGUGAGACAGUUCGGUCCCUAUCCGCUGUGCGCGUUGGAAACUUGAGAAAGGCUGUCCCUAGUACGAGAGGACCGGGAUGGACGAACCUCUGGUGUGUCAGUUGUCCUGCCAAGGGCACGGCUGAUUGGCUACGUUCGGAAGUGAUAACCGCUGAAAGCAUCUAAGCGGGAAGCACGUUUCAAGAUGAGGUUUCCAGGCCCGCGAGGGUGAGAGGCUCCCGGUAGACGACCGGGUUGAUAGGCCGGACGUGGAAGCACAGCAAUGUGUGGAGCUGACCGGUACUAAUAGGCCGAUGACUUGACC